rnacentral:rRNA from 1 species
GAUGAACGCUAGCGGCAGGCUUAACACAUGCAAGUCGAGGGGUAACAGGGAAGAGCUUGCUUUUCCGCUGACGACCGGCGCACGGGUGCGUAACGCGUAUAGAACCUACCUUUUACAGGGGAAUAGCCCAGAGAAAUUUGGAUUAAUGCCCCAUAGUAUUAUUGAAUGGCAUCAUUUAAUAAUUAAACAUUUAUGGGUAAAAGAUGGCUAUGCGUUCUAUUAGCUAGAUGGUAAGGUAACGGCUUACCAUGGCAACGAUAGAUAGGGGUCCUGAGAGGGAGAUCCCCCACACUGGUACUGAGACACGGACCAGACUCCUACGGGAGGCAGCAGUGAGGAAUAUUGGACAAUGGAGGCAACUCUGAUCCAGCCAUGCCGCGUGCAGGAAGACGGUCCUAUGGAUUGUAAACUGCUUUUAUAUAGGAAGAAACCUUUCCACGUGUGGAAAGCUGACGUUUCUAUAAGAAUAAGCACCGGCUAACUCCGUGCCAGCAGCCGCGGUAAUACGGAAGGGUGCAAGCGUUAUCCGGAAUCAUUGGGUUUAAAGGGUCCGUAGGCGGACUAAUAAGUCAGGGGUGAAAUCCAACAGCUUAACUGUUGAACUGCCUUUGAUACUGUUAGUCUUGAGUUAUAUGGAAGUAGAUAGAAUAUGUAGUGUAGCGGUGAAAUGCUUAGAGAUUACAUAGAAUACCGAUUGCGAAGGCAGUCUACUACGUAUAUACUGAC